rnacentral:rRNA from 1 species
UACGGAGGGUGCAAGCGUUGUCCGGAAUCACUGGGCGUAAAGGGCGCGUAGGUGGUGGCUUAAGCGUGCGGUGAAAGCUCGGGGCUCAACUCCGAGUCGGCCGUGCGAACUGGGCUCACUGGAGCAUAGUAGAGGCAGGUGGAAUUCCGGGUGUAGCGGUGGAAUGCGUAGAGAUCCGGAAGAACACCGGUGGCGAAGGCGGCCUGCUGGGCUAUGGCUGACACUGAGGCGCGACAGCGUGGGGAGCAAACAGG